AUUGAACGCUGGCGGCAGGCCUAACACAUGCAAGUCGAGCGGAUGAAGGGAGCUUGCUCCUGGAUUCAGCGGCGGACGGGUGAGUAAUGCCUAGGAAUCUGCCUGGUAGUGGGGGAUAACGUCCGGAAACGGGCGCUAAUACCGCAUACGUCCUGAUGGUGAAAGUGGGGGAUCUUCGGACCUCACGCUAUCAGAUGAGCCUAGGUCGGAUUAGCUAGUUGGUGGGGUAAAGGCCUACCAAGGCGACGAUCCGUAACUGGUCUGAGAGGAUGAUCAGUCACACUGGAACUGAGACACGGUCAAGACUCCUAAGGGAGGCAGCAGUGGGGAAUAUUGGACAAUGGGCGAAAGCAUGAUCCAGCCAUGCCGCGUGUGUGAAGAAGGUCUUCGGAUUGUAAAGCACUUUUAGUUGGGAGGAAGGGCAGUAAGUUAAUACCUUGCUGUUUUGACGGUACCAACAGAAUAAGCACCGGCUAACUUCGUG
rnacentral:rRNA from 1 species